rnacentral:rRNA from 1 species
UAAUAUCGGAUAACGCAUAUGUGCUGGAAUGCUUUAUGCGUAAAACGGAUUCGUCCGCCCAAGGAUGGGUCUGCGGCCUAUCAGGUAGUAGUGGGUGUAAUGUACCUACUAGCCAACAACGGGUACGGGUUGUGAGAGCAAGAGCCCGGAGAUGGAUUCUGAGACAUGAAUCCAGGCCCUACGGGGCGCAGCAGGCGCGAAAACUUUACAAUGCGGGAAACCGUGAUAAGGGAACACCGAGUGCCAGCAUCAUAUGCUGGCUGUCCAGAUGUGUAAACUACAUCUGUUAGCAAGGGCCGGGCAAGACCGGUGCCAGCCGCCGCGGUAACACCGGCGGCCCGAGUGGUGACCGUUAUUAUUGGGUCUAAAGGGUCCGUAGCCGGUUUGGUCAGUCCUCCGGGAAAUCUGAUAGCUUAACUGUUAGGCUUUCGGGGGAUACUGCCAGGCUUGGAACCGGGAGAGGUAAGAGGUACUACAGGGGUAGGAGUGAAAUCUUGUAAUCCCUGUGAGACCACCUGUGGCGAAGGCGUCUUACCAGAACGGGUUCGACGGUGAGGGACGAAAGCUGGGGGCACGAACCGGAUUAGAUACCCGGGUAGUCCCAGCCGUAAACUAUGCGCGUUAGGUGU